AUCGUCUUCUCAGGUAAUAUGAUCCUGACCAGACGGAGAUGGGUUGGGGCAUCUAUUCUAGUCCCCACCUGCCAGAAUAGGUGUCAGGUGGCUCCUCACCACUCUACAUCAUUAGUGUGUACAAUGGACAUAGCAUUAUCUGAACUUCCAUGGCUCUAUGUAAAGCAUUCCACUGUAUUUUAAUAAUUACGCAAGACCAGGCCUCUUUCAUGUAAGGCAAAUAAGUGUGAUUGAUUCAGACUUCUGGCAUUACUGGGCCAUGCUGCCGCAAGAAACAGGUGCAUGUGGAAUCAAGCCUGACGGAGUUACUGGUGUGGAGUAAAAAAAAAAGAGAAGAAUCCAGGAACCCAUGAGAUUCUUUGGUGCCUACAAAUUCUGAUCUCCUUUAAAGGUCAUGAAAACUGUGAGAACCCCAUUAGAGCUAAAUGAGUUUUAAGUCCUAUCAAGGGCUCGUCCUCGGUCAUUGUGCUGAUUUUGAUGGAAAGGACAUCGCAAGGCUCAACCUGCUUUAAAACACUUCCUCAGUAGGGCAUUUCCUUCCUACAUGGUUUGACAUACAUUCAUAACAAAG